GGCUCAGGAUGAACGCUAGCUACAGGCUUAACACAUGCAAGUCGAGGGGCAGCAUGGUCUUAGCUUGCUAAGGCCGAUGGCGACCGGCGCACGGGUGAGUAACGCGUAUCCAACCUGCCUUACACUCUUGGACAGCCUUCUGAAAGGGAGAUUAAUACAAGAUGUUAUCAUGAGUAAGCAUUUUCGCAUGAUUAAAGGUUUACCGGUGUAAGAUGGGGAUGCGUUCCAUUAGAUAGUAGGCGGGGUAACGGCCCACCUAGUCUUCGAUGGAUAGGGGUUCUGAGAGGAAGGUCCCCCACAUUGGAACUGAGACACGGUCCAAACUCCUACGGGAGGCAGCAGUGAGGAAUAUUGGUCAAUGGACGAGAGUCUGAACCAGCCAAGUAGCGUGAAGGAUGAAGGUUCUAUGGAUUGUAAACUUCUUUUAUACGGGAAUAAACGAAUCCACGCGUGGAUUUUUGCAUGUACCGUAUGAAUAAGGAUCGGCUAACUCCGUGCCAGCAGCCGCGGUAAUACGGAGGAUCCGAGCGUUAUCCGGAUUUAUUGGGUUUAAAGGGAGCGUAGAUGGGUUGUUAAGUCAGUUGUGAAAGUUUGCGGCUCAACCGUAAAAUUGCAAUUGAUACUGGCAGUCUUGAGUACAGUUGAGGUAGGCGGAAUUCGUGGUGUAGCGGUGAAAUGCUUAGAUAUCACGAAGAACUCCGAUUGCGAAGGCAGCUUACUAACCUGUAACUGACAUUGAUGCUCGAAAGUGUGGGUAUCAAACAGGAUUAGAUACCCUGGUAGUCCACACGGUAAACGAUGAAUACUCGCUGUAGGCGAUAUACAGUCUGCGGCCAAGCGAAAGCAUUAAGUAUUCCACCUGGGGAGUACGCCGGCAACGGUGAAACUCAAAGGAAUUGACGGGGGCCCGCACAAGCGGAGGAACAUGUGGUUUAAUUCGAUGAUACGCGAGGAACCUUACCCGGGCUUAAAUUGCAACCGAAUAUGGCGGAAACGCUAUAGCUAGCAAUAGCGGUUGUGAAGGUGCUGCAUGGUUGUCGUCAGCUCGUGCCGUGAGGUGUCGGCUUAAGUGCCAUAACGAGCGCAACCCUUGCCGAUAGUUACUAACAGGUUAUGCUGAGGACUCUGUCGGGACUGCCAUCGUAAGAUGUGAGGAAGGUGGGGAUGACGUCAAAUCAGCACGGCCCUUACGUCCGGGGCUACACACGUGUUACAAUGGGGGGUACAGAGGGCUGCUACCACGCAAGUGGAUGCCAAUCCCAAAAACCUCUCUCAGUUCGGAUUGAAGUCUGCAACCCGACUUCAUGAAGCUGGAUUCGCUAGUAAUCGCGCAUCAGCCACGGCGCGGUGAAUACGUUCCCGGGCCUUGUACACACCGCCCGUCAAGCCAUGGGAGCCGGGGGUACCUGAAGUGCGUAACCGCAAGGAGCGCCCUAGGGUAAAACUGG
rnacentral:rRNA from 1 species